AUUGAACGCUGGCGGCAGGCUUAACACAUGCAAGUCGAGCGGAGCGAGGGUGCUUGCACCUUAGCUUAGCGGCGGACGGGUGAGUAAUGCUUAGGAAUCUGCCUAUUAGUGGGGGACAACAUUCCGAAAGGAAUGCUAAUACCGCAUACGCCCUACGGGGGAAAGCAGGGGAUCUUCGGACCUUGCGCUAAUAGAUGAGCCUAAGUCGGAUUAGCUAGUUGGUGGGGUAAAGGCCUACCAAGGCGACGAUCUGUAGCGGGUCUGAGAGGAUGAUCCGCGACACUGGGACGGAGACACGGCCCAGACUCCUACGGGAGGCAGCAGUGGGGAAUAUUGGACAAUGGGCGGAAGCCUGAUUCAGCCAUGCCGCGUGUGUGAAGAAGGCCUUUUGGUUGUAAAGCACUUUAGGCGAGGAGGAGGCUACUUAGAUUAAUACUCUGGGAUAGUGGACGUUACUCGCAGAAUAAGCACCGGCUAACUCUGUGCCAGCCGCCGCCGUAA
rnacentral:rRNA from 1 species